rnacentral:rRNA from 1 species
UGGGGAAUAUUGGACAAUGGGCGAAAGCCUAAUCCAGCCAUGCCGCGUGUGUGAAGAAGGUCUUCGGAUUGUAAAGCACUUUAAGUUGGGAGGAAGGGCAGUAAGCGAAUACCUUGCUGGUUUGACGUUACUGACAGAAUAAGCACCGGCUAACUCUGUGCCAGCAGCCGCGGUAAUACAGAGGGUGCAAGCGUUAAUCGGAAUUACUGGGCGUAAAGCGCGCGUAGGUGGUUCGUUAAGUUGAAUGUGAAAGCCCCGGGCUCAACCUGGGAACUGCAUCCAAAACUGGCGAGCUAGAGUAGGGCAGAGGGUGGUGGAAUUUCCUGUGUAGCGGUGAAAUGCGUAGAUAUAGGAAGGAAAACCAGUGGCGAAGGCGACCACCUGGGCUCAUACUGACACUGAGGUGCGAAAGCGUGGGGAGCAAACAGG